GACGAACGCUGGCGGCGUGCUUAACACAUGCAAGUCGAACGAAGUGGCGAACGGGGGUGUAAUACGUGGGUAACCUGCCCUCCUUUUUGGGGUAAGCCUUGGAAAAGGGGUCUAAUACCGAAUAAAGGGGGAGGGGCUCGUGGCUUAUCAGCUUGUUGGUGGGGUGAUGGGCCACCAAGGCGGUGACGGGUAGCCGGGCUGAGAGGGUAAACGGCAACAGUGAGACUGAGAUGCGGCCCAGGCUCGUAAGGAGGGGAGCAGUGGGGGAUAUUGCACAAUGGGCGAAGGCCUGAUGCAGCGACGCCGCGUAGGGGAUGAGGGCUUUCAGGUUGUAAACGUCUUUCGCUAGCGAACGGGUAGGUGGAGAAGAAGCGCCGGCUAACUACGUGCCAGCAGCCGCGGUAAUAC
rnacentral:rRNA from 1 species